AGAUUGUUUAGUUCCAUACCUUGUUCCAGUGUUUCAUGUCUAAUCCCUUGUUUUUCCUUCCUGAUUUCCUUGACCGUUGUAUCCUGCCUGAUCCUUGUUUGUACCGUUGCCGGAGAAAGACCUUGGACUGAACAACUGAUCAAUAAAUUUAAGAACUACAACAGUUAGUUCUUCAUGCUGGAUGGUUUUUCUUCAGACCUGAAUGGAUGAUCGUGGACGCCAUGAAGAAGCCAUGAUGGAGACAAUGCUUGAAGAUUUUGUCAUUCACAAAGAUGCAGAGGCAGAUGAUGACCCUGAAUAUGUAGUCAUCGUUUCAAGGCCUGGAUGAGUUGGGUCGUGUCCCACCUGCUGCGAUGUUGUUUGCUCUUGUAUAUGCUCUCAACCUCAGCUAACCUAAAAUUUGUUUGAAAUAUUGUCCCAAUGCUGUAUGUACAAUACUGGAUCUUAGUGACAUUUUGUAGCUGCCUUUGACAUUUGAAAGCUGUUUUAUCGUUUUUAUGAAGCUUAUAAAGUAUUCUAACCAGUCUAAAUCCAAUGUGCUUUGUGUCUUCUCCAACCUACACACCAGCUGGGGAUAUAUGUUAGUUUGCAUAAU